rnacentral:rRNA from 1 species
GACGAACGCUGGCGGCGUGCCUAAUACAUGCAAGUAGAACGCUGAAGGAGGAGCUUGCUUCUCCGGAUGAGUUGCGAACGGGUGAGUAACGCGUAGGUAACCUGCCUGGUAGCGGGGGAUAACUAUUGGAAACGAUAGCUAAUACCGCAUAACAGUAGAUGUUGCAUGACAUUUGCUUAAAAGGUGCAAUUGCAUCACUACCAGAUGGACCUGCGUUGUAUUAGCUAGUUGGUGGGGUAACGGCUCACCAAGGCGACGAUACAUAGCCGACCUGAGAGGGUGAUCGGCCACACUGGGACUGAGACACGGCCCAGACUCCUACGGGAGGCAGCAGUAGGGAAUCUUCGGCAAUGGACGGAAGUCUGACCGAGCAACGCCGCGUGAGUGAAGAAGGUUUUCGGAUCGUAAAGCUCUGUUGUAAGAGAAGAACGAGUGUGAGAGUGGAAAGUUCACACUGUGACGGUAGCUUACCAGAAAGGGACGGCUAACUACGUG